CCUACGGGAGGCAGCAGUGGGGAAUAUUGCACAAUGGGCGCAAGCCUGAUGCAGCAACGCCGCGUGAGGGACGACGGCCUUCGGGUUGUAAACCUCUUUUAGUAGGGAAGAAGCGAAAGUGACGGUACCUGCAGAAAAAGCACCGGCUAACUACGUGCCAGCAGCCGCGGUAAUACGUAGGGUGCAAGCGUUGUCCGGAAUUAUUGGGCGUAAAGAGCUCGUAGGCGGUUUGUCGCGUCUGCUGUGAAAACCCGAGGCUCAACCUCGGGCCUGCAGUGGGUACGGGCAGACUAGAGUGCGGUAGGGGAGAUUGGAAUUCCUGGUGUAGCGGUGGAAUGCGCAGAUAUCAGGAGGAACACCGAUGGCGAAGGCAGAUCUCUGGGCCGUAACUGACGCUGAGGAGCGAAAGCAUGGGGAGCGAACAGGAUUAGAUACCCGUGGUAGUCCAUGCCGUAAACGUUGGGAACUAGAUGUAGGGACCAUUCCACGGUUUCUGUGUCGCAGCUAACGCAUUAGUUCCCGCCUGGGGAGUACGGCCGCAAGGCUAAAACUUAAAGGAAUUGACGG
rnacentral:rRNA from 1 species